GAUGAACGCUAGCGGCAGGCUUAACACAUGCAAGUCGAGGGGUAUUGGUUUUCGGACCAAGAGACCGGCGCGCGGGUGCGUAACGCGUAUGCAAUCUACCUUUUGCAGAGGGAUAGCCCCAGAGAAAUUUGGAUUAAUACCUCAUAGUAUAGUACUUUGGCAUCAAGGAACUAUUAAAGUCACAACGGCAAAGAUGAGCAUGCGUCCCAUUAGCUAGUUGGUAAGGCAACGGCUUACCAAGGCUACGAUGGGUAGGGGUCCUGAGAGGGAGAUCCCCCCACACUGGUACUGAGACACGGACCAGACUCCUACGGGAGGCAGCAGUGAGGAAUAUUGGACAAUGGGCGCAAGCCUGAUCCAGCCAUGCCGCGUGCAGGAUGACGGUCCUAUGGAUUGUAAACUGCUUUUGUACAGGAAGAAACACUACUUCGUGAAGUAGCUUGACGGUACUGUAAGAAUAAGGAUCGGCUAACUCCGUGCCAGCAG
rnacentral:rRNA from 1 species